rnacentral:tRNA from 1 species
GGGGCUAUCGCAUAACCUGGCAGUGCGCUGGGCUCCAGACUCAGCGGUCAGGGUUCAAAUCCCUGUAGCCCCA